rnacentral:snRNA from 1 species
GUGCUCACUUCAGCAGCAUAUAACAAAAUUGGAAUAAUACAGAGAAGAUUAGUAUGGCCCCUGCACAAAGAUGACAUGAGAAUUCAUGAAGCAUUCCAUAUUUUU